AGGCGUGUGACUGGCGGAAUUGUGGGAGGAACCACAGGGGAGCACGCAUAUGGAUUUUGAACUCAUUUUUGAAGCCGGCCGCCUGGGCACACC
rnacentral:ncRNA from 1 species